rnacentral:rRNA from 1 species
CCUACGGGAGGCAGCAGUGGGGAAUUUUGGACAAUGGGCGCAAGCCUGAUCCAGCAAUGCCGCGUGCAGGAUGAAGGCCUUCGGGUUGUAAACUGCUUUUGUACGGAACGAAAAAGUCUGCCCUAAUACGGUGGGCCCAUGACGGUACCGUAAGAAUAAGCACCGGCUAACUACGUGCCAGCAGCCGCGGUAAUACGUAGGGUGCGAGCGUUAAUCGGAAUUACUGGGCGUAAAGCGUGCGCAGGCGGUUAUAUAAGACAGAUGUGAAAUCCCCGGGCUCAACCUGGGACCUGCAUUUGUGACUGUAUAGCUAGAGUACGGUAGAGGGGGAUGGAAUUCCGCGUGUAGCAGUGAAAUGCGUAGAUAUGCGGAGGAACACCGAUGGCGAAGGCAAUCCCCUGGACCUGUACUGACGCUCAUGCACGAAAGCGUGGGGAGCAAACAGGAUUAGAUACCCUGGUAGUCCACGCCCUAAACGAUGUCAACUGGUUGUUGGGUCUUCACUGACUCAGUAACGAAGCUAACGCGUGAGUAGACGCCGNGGAGGUAACGGCGCGAGUUAGUAACGUUACGAAAGAAGUUAGAGGCGNGAGACGNGCCGACGGACGACGACGAGGGAGGAGG